ACAUACAAAGGGGUAAGACUUUGUCACAAUGCUUGCCAGUUUUGACACAAUUCUAACAUUAUCUGCUGAAAUUCUCUUCUUUUUGACUGGCUGCCUGAAGAAGGACAAACGAAUUAAAUUUCUGGGAUUUUUUUUCUUUUUGACAUAGGCUGCAACUCCUGAAAUCAAAGCUACCUGGGUAAAUGAAAUUAGAAAAGUAUUGACCAGCCAAUUACAGGCUUGCAGGCAAGCUAGCCAGCAUAAAGCUGUUGAACAUACUCAGAGUUUACCUUUGUCUCUCUCAGCUAACACCAGCCCUUCAAAAAAUGAGGGAAGGAACUUGAGAAAACAAGAAAUGAGAAAUGCAGACAGUCCAGAUGGUUGUGUCAGUUCAGUAGCAUCAAAGAAUCUUGAAAAAAGCA